rnacentral:sRNA from 1 species
GCCGGGAGUGAUAGCACACUCCUGUAAUCUCAGCUGCUGAGGCUAAGGCAGGAGAAUCACAAGUUCAAGGCCAGCCUCAGCAAUUUAGUGAGGCCCUGAGCAACUUAGUGAGACUCUGCCCUAU